CCUACGGGAGGCAGCAGUGGGGAAUAUUGGGCAAUGGGCGCAAGCCUGACCCAGCAACGCCGCGUGAAGGAAGAAGGCUUUCGGGUUGUAAACUUCUUUUAGGAGGGAAGAGCAGAAGACGGUACCUCUUGAAUAAACCACGGCUAACCACGUGCCCGCCGCCGGGGUAAUACGUAGGUGGCAAGCGUUGUCCGGAUUUACUGGGUGGAAAGGGCGCGUAGCCGGGCUUGCAAGUCAGAGGUGAAAUCCGGGGGCUCAACCCCCGAACUGCAUUGGAAACUGUAUGGCGGGAGUGCAGGAGAGGUAAGCGGAAUUCCUAGUGUAGCGGUGAAAUGCGUAGAUAUUAGGAGGAACACCAGUGGCGAAGGCGGCUUACUGGACUGUAACUGACGUUGAGGCUCGAAAGCGUGGGGAGCAAACAGGAUUAGAUACCCGUGUAGUC
rnacentral:rRNA from 1 species